rnacentral:tRNA from 1 species
AGUCAAAAUUAAGACGUAUGACUGGAAGUCAAGAGGUCGUGGGUUCGAGUCCCAUCUUCUCCA